rnacentral:rRNA from 1 species
UACGUAGGGGGCUAGCGUUGUCCGGAUUUAUUGGGCGUAAAGAGCGUGUAGGCGGCCAGGUAGGUCCGUUGUGAAAACUCGAGGCUCAACCUCGAGACGUCGGCGGAAACCAUCUGGCUAGAGUCCGGAAAGAGGAGAGUGGAAUUCCUGGUGGUAGCGGUGAAAUGACGCAGAUAUCAGGAAGAACACCCGUGGCGAAGGCGGCUCUCUGGGACGGUACUGACGCUGAGACGCGAAAGCGUGGGGGAGCAAACAGG